rnacentral:ncRNA from 1 species
AACCGCCGUAUGCGGAACCGCACGUACGGUGGUGUGAGAGGGCAGCGGGAGUAAUCCCGCUCCCUACUCGAU